rnacentral:lncRNA from 10 species
UUGUGUAGACAACUUAGAAUGACGUUUUGAAUCAGAAUCAAGUUCUUCUGCCACUCAUCCAAAAGUUCAAAACGUCUGUUUUAUAUAGAUGGCACCAAAAGCUUCAGGACAUAAUUCACAUGCAAAAAAGUACAAUGCUGAAUAUGAAAAUCUGAAAUACAUACUGCAUAAGUAAUAGUAGUAAAAAGCCAAUGACAUUUUAAAGAUAUUUUAAAGAUUUAGUAUUUAUCAUUGUAACACAGCUUUUAUGUUUGAUGUUAUAGGAAGCUAUGAGUUCACUUUGGAAUCAAUGCUAUUUUAUUGCUUGCUGUUAUAUUUAUGGAAUGUUACUGUGAACAAAGCGGAGCAGGCCAAGUCUAUUCCCAACAUAACUUAUAAAUAAUGCCUUCCCAACUCGGCUAGCUAAAAGCCACACUUCUCUCCAGAGUGAGGAACCAGAAGCUGGACUUUGGAAGUACCAUCUCCCUCCAUCACAGGCCAGUUAUUGACAACGAUCCCAAGAAAGUUCACAUCAGCAUCACAGUGUAACUAAUCCAAGUGGGUGUUCUGUGGUUUAUGGCCAGUUGGGUUUUGCAAGAAAAUCACUUGUCUAAGAAUUUAUCUCACUAAUUAAGGCUAUUUUAACUUUCAUAUACUAUACCCCAAGUGGGAGUCACUCAAACUUUCUUCAACCUUUAGAGUGUAUUUAAUGACUCAUUUGCUCAUUUAAAGAACAUUGGCCAGGCACAGUAGCUCACACCUGUAACUCCAACUUUGGGAGGCUGAGGUGGGAGGAUCACUUGAGGCCAGGAGUUUAAGGCCAGUCUGGGAAACAUAGCAAGACUCCAUCUCUAUAAAAAAUAAAAAAUUGGCUGGGUGUGGUGGUUCAUGCCUGUGGUCCCAGCUACUUGGAGGCUAAGAUGGGAGGCUUGCUGGAGUCUAGGAGUUUGAGGUUGCAGUGAGUGGCAACUGCAAUUGUGCCACUGGCCGUGCAGCCUGGGUGACAGAGCAAAACCUUGUCUCAAAAAAAAAGGAACAUUAAUUGAGUCCUAUCAUGGUGCAAAGUCCUGUUCACAUUAGCAUAUUACAGUGAAUAAGAUAGGUAAGGCUUUCUUCACAGAGAUGACAUUCGUGAGGAAGUAGAGAAUUAGACAGCAAACGUAAACAAAUAAGAUCAUUUCAGUAGUAAUUAGGAAAAGAAACAAAGGUGAUAUGAUGAAAAUGAUGAACUCACUUUAGAAAGGGAGGUUAGAGAGUGUUCUAGAAGGAAGUAACAUUUGAACUGAGGCAUGCUAAAGAAAGACUAGCACUUUUUUUUUAAUGAGAAAAUGUAUUCUUUUCUUUCUUUCUUUCUUUUUUUUUUGAGACAGGGUCUCACUCUGUCGCCCAGGCUGGAGUGUAGUGGUGCAAUCUCGGCUCACUGCAACCUCCACCUGGUUCAAGCAAUUCUCAUGCCUCAGCCUCCCAAGUAGCUGGGAUUACAGAUGUAUGCCACCACGCCCGUUUAAUUUUUGUAUUUUAGUAGAGAGGGGGUUUCGCCAUGUUGGCCGGGCUGGUGGCAAACUCCUGACCUCAAGUAAUCUGCCCUCCUCCGCCUCCCAAAGGGAUGGAAUUACAGGCAUGAGCCACUGCGCCUGGCCUUUCUUUGUCCUUUUAAGGCCAGCUAAGAGUCAGUGAUCCAUGGAAAAGAGGCAGUAAGAUCGCUAGUUAGGAAACUUUUCAAGGUAAUCUGAGAUAGAGUCUUCUUGGAGAAAGGAGACACGGUAACGUAAGGGAAGUGCUAAAUGGUGGAUGCCAUCCCUCAAAGAGAGAAGUGGUCCAAAAUGGCACCUGGGAAUGAAAUGCAGUGGCAAGAGAUGGUUUGGUCCAGGGAGUGGGUACUAGGAGAUCACAACAGAAAUGGGGGUGAAAUAAGAGAUUUGUGUGGCCAUGAGCAGCGGGGGUGGCCUCAGGAGGAAGGUGGGGGGACAGGAACUGAAAAGACGCCACCGAGCCUGAAGAUGUUCUGAGGGGCCAACCAUGCAGAUUGCAUCUUCGUUCAUCCCCGUGUAAUCUCUGCUUUGUCCCUGCUCCUGAAGAACAAGCAGCAGUGGUCUCACUAGCAGCCCCAGGAGGCUGAAGGUCUUACUUGUUUGAGAACAUUGUCCCAUCUCCUAACCAUGCUUGAAAAGUUGUAUGGCUUGGCUAUUCAUAUGUAUCACCCCUAAUAGACUUAAUUAUCUGAAACCAAAAGGCCAGAAAAGAUCUCCAGAGGUUUCCCAAUCAAUGUUCUGCCUCUAAACAGAAUAAACGAACAAACUACCCACGACAGAGAUUAAACGCCUGGUUAGAUGACCAGGCCUCCACAAAUUUGUGAAGAGGGUGAAAGUCGACUUUUUACUUAUAAUUACACCACCCUUCACUGUGUGGGGUUAAUGGGCCUUAUUUUCCUAAUGCCUAACAUUUAUUUCAAACUCUCUGCACCUGUUCUAUCAGGCUGUCCCUCAGUAAAUAUUAGGUAGAAAAGACUAUAAUAAAUGAACUCUCUCUAAGCAGUCAAGGUCUCCAGUUUAAUAUUAAUCAAUUAUAGCCCUUAUUAAAGGUUUACCCAUAGGAUGGAAGUGGGAUGGAGGAGGAAGAAUGUUUGCCAUCUACCAGGGACACUUGAUGCCAAUUAAAGGAACAGAAGGUACGAAGGGCACAAUAAAUUGAUUUUUUUUGUUUUUACUUUUUAUUGACAUACAUAAGAAAAGUAUACUCACCAAAAGUGUACAGGCUGAUGAGAUUUUUAAAAACUGAACAUGCGGCCGGGCAUAGUGG